GCCGAUUUGGUCCUAGUCCCAAUUUUAACUCUUCUUAAGAUGCCACAUGCAAGCAAGCUAGCAAACCAGUGAAGUAACCCCCUACUCCAAAAAAUCUUAAAAGAAAGUUUGGAAUAGGAAUAUCAGUAUCAGGUGCUAAAACACGCCCACAACACUGAGCAAUACGCCACGACUGCAGUGCUAAAUAUUGGACAAUCAGAAAAAUCUGGAUCCAGCAAAGGAAAAAGAAGGAGGUAAAAUACGUGCCAGCCACCGCGGUUAUACGUACUUCCUACAGUUAAAUUGAACGGUCAAAAGGGUGGUUAGAAGAAUAAAUAGUUGGUAGUAGCUUUGAGCUAGUGGUAAAAAACUAAUCUCAUAAGAAACCUUUCUACCAAACUGCACAUUUGAACCCACGAAAACUAAGGCAUAAACCAGGAUUAGAUACCCUGUUAUACUUAGAAGUAAACAACCUGAGCACCAGAGAACUACGAACCUAAAGUUUAAAACUCAAAGGACUUGGCGGUUUUCCAAAUCUCCCUGGAGGAGCUUGCCAUUGAAUCGAUAAUCCACGAAAUACCUCACCAGCUCUUGUACUUACAGCUUGUAUACCAUCGUCGUAAGUCUACUUCUCGAGAAAGUUGACCAAAAGGAAGACCCCCAGACGUCAGAUCAAGGUGCAGCUUAUAAGCUGGGAAUAGGUGAGCUACAAUGUUUUGAUAAACCAGUGAAAAUAGAAAUGAAAUCUUUCUAUGGAAAUUGGAUUCAGCAGUAAACUCCACCGAGAAAAUGGAGUUGAAAAGAGCUCUGGAAUGCGUACACAUCGCCCGUCACUCUCGCCUAGCCAGUAUAUAGCAAGGGGAGAAAAGUCGUAACACAAUAGGCCCACCGGAAGGUAGGCCUGGAAAAU
rnacentral:ncRNA from 1 species